rnacentral:rRNA from 1 species
CCUAUAUGAAGUCGGAAUUGCUAGUAAUCGCGGAUCAGCAUGCCGCGGUGAAUACGUUCCCGGGCCUUGUACACACCGCCCGUCACACCAUGAGAGUCGAUAACACCCGAAGCCUGUAGUCUAACAGCAAUGAGGACGCAGUCGAAGGUGGGAUUGAUAAUUAGGGUGAAGUCGUAACAAGGUACC